rnacentral:rRNA from 1 species
CUACAGAGGGUGCAAGCGUUAAUCGGAGUGACUGGGCGUAAAGGGCGUGUAGGUGGAUAGAUAAGUUAUGUGUGAAAUAUCCGGGCUUAACCUGGAGGGGUCAUGUAAUACUGUUGAUCUAGAGUAGAGCAGAGGGAAGUAGAAUUUCCGGUGUAGCGGUGAAAUGCGUAGAGAUCGGAAGGAAUACCAGUGGCGAAGGCGGCUUCCUGGGCUCAUACUGACACUGAGGCGCGAAAGCGUGGGUAGCAAACAGGAUUAGAAACCCUAGUAGUCC